GGCCUACACUAGCUUACAACUGUUCAGUAACAAUCACCGUGUCCCACACAUAAAAGAUACUGUUAUAUUUAUAUUCAACCCUGUAAUUCAUUGAUUUCAAUCAAUUUGAAAACGAAAAAGACAACAUGAAGCCAACGCUUACUUGCAACGUAUGUAACAAAGUUUUCCAAACUCGCUUCAACUACAAUAGACACCUUUCCCGUCACACAGAUGUCAACCAGCACCAAUGUGAUAAGUGCGGUAAAGUAUUUGCAAGGCAUGACAAUUUUGUUCGACACCUUAACAACAAG